GAUGAACGCUGGCGGCGUGCCUAAUACAUGCCAGUCGAGCGAACGGACGAGAAGCUUGCUUCUCUGAUGUUAGCGGCGGACGGGUGAGUAACACGUGGAUAACCUACCUAUAAGACUGGGAUAACUUCGGGAAACCGGAGCUAAUACCGGAUAAUAUUUUGAACCGCAUGGUUCAAAAGUGAAAGACGGUCUUGCUGUCACUUAUAGAUGGAUCCGCGCUGCAUUAGCUAGUUGGUAAGGUAACGGCUUACCAAGGCAACGAUGCAUAGCCGACCUGAGAGGGUGAUCGGCCACACUGGAACUGAGACACGGUCCAGACUCCUACGGGAGGCAGCAGUAGGGAAUCUUCCGCAAUGGGCGAAAGCCUGACGGAGCAACGCCGCGUGAGUGAUGAAGGUCUUCGGAUCGUAAAACUCUGUUAUUAGGGAAGAACAUAUGUGUAAGUAACUAUGCACGUCUUGACGGUACCUAAUCAGAAAGCCACGGCUAACUACGUG
rnacentral:rRNA from 1 species